GACGAACGCUGGCGGCGUGCUUAAUACAUGCAAGUCGAACGGAGCCUAGCUGGUGGUUUACUACCGGCGAAAGCUUAGUGGCGGACGGGUGAGUAACGCGUGGGUAAUCUACCCCUAAGUCCGGGAUAACAGAGCGAAAGUUCUGCUAAUACCGGAUACUCUUCCCGGGUCGCAUGGUCUGGGAAGGAAAGGUUUACUGCUUAGGGAUGAGCCCGCGUCCCAUUAGCUAGUUGGUGAGGUAACGGCUCACCAAGGCGACGAUGGGUAGCCGGCCUGAGAGGGUGGACGGCCACACUGGGACUGAGACACGGCCCAGACUCCUACGGGAGGCAGCAGUAGGGAAUAUUGCGCAAUGGACGGAAGUCUGACGCAGCGACGCCGCGUGAGCGAUGAAGGUCUUCGGAUCGUAAAGCUCUGUCCUUGGGGAAAAGGCGAAAGCUUGACGGUACCCAAGAAGAAAGCCCCGGCUAACUACGUG
rnacentral:rRNA from 1 species